GGGGAAUAUUGCACAAUGGGGGAAACCCUGAUGCAGCGACGCCGCGUGAGUGAAGAAGUAUUUCGGUACGUAAAGCUCUAUCAGCAGGGAAGAAAAUGACGGUACCUGACUAAUAAGCCCCGGCUAACUAC
rnacentral:rRNA from 1 species